AGAGUUUGAUCCUGGCUCAGGACGAACGCUGGCGGCGUGCUUAACACAUGCAAGUCGAACGAUGAUGCCCAGCUUGCUGGGCGGAUUAGUGGCGAACGGGUGAGUAAUACGUGAGUAACCUGCCCUUGACUCUGGGAUAAGCCUGGGAAACUGGGUCUAAUACUGGAUACUACCUCUUACCGCAUGGUGGGUGGUGGAAAGGGUUUUACUGGUUUUGGAUGGGCUCACGGCCUAUCAGCUUGUUGGUGGGGUAAUGGCUCACCAAGGCGACGACGGGUAGCCGGCCUGAGAGGGUGACCGGCCACACUGGGACUGAGACACGGCCCAGACUCCUACGGGAGGCAGCAGUGGGGAAUAUUGCACAAUGGGCGGAAGCCUGAUGCAGCGACGCCGCGUGAGGGAUGACGGCCUUCGGGUUGUAAACCUCUUUCAGUAGGGAAGAAGCGAGAGUGACGGUACCUGCAGAAGAAGCGCCGGCUAACUACGUGCCAGCAGCCGCGGUAAUACGUAGGGCGCAAGCGUUGUCCGGAAUUAUUGGGCGUAAAGAGCUCGUAGGCGGUUUGUCGCGUCUGCUGUGAAAGCCCGGGGCUCAACCCCGGGUCUGCAGUGGGUACGGGCAGACUAGAGUGCAGUAGGGGAGACUGGAAUUCCUGGUGUAGCGGUGAAAUGCGCAGAUAUCAGGAGGAACACCGAUGGCGAAGGCAGGUCUCUGGGCUGUUACUGACGCUGAGGAGCGAAAGCAUGGGGAGCGAACAGGAUUAGAUACCCUGGUAGUCCAUGCCGUAAACGUUGGGCACUAGGUGUGGGGGACAUUCCACGUUUUCCGCGCCGUAGCUAACGCAUUAAGUGCCCCGCCUGGGGAGUACGGCCGCAAGGCUAAAACUCAAAGGAAUUGACGGGGGCCCGCACAAGCGGCGGAGCAUGCGGAUUAAUUCGAUGCAACGCGAAGAACCUUACCAAGGCUUGACAUUCACCGGACCGCCCCAGAGAUGGGGUUUCCCUUCGGGGCUGGUGGACAGGUGGUGCAUGGUUGUCGUCAGCUCGUGUCGUGAGAUGUUGGGUUAAGUCCCGCAACGAGCGCAACCCUCGUUCUAUGUUGCCAGCACGUGAUGGUGGGGACUCAUAGGAGACUGCCGGGGUCAACUCGGAGGAAGGUGGGGAUGACGUCAAAUCAUCAUGCCCCUUAUGUCUUGGGCUUCACGCAUGCUACAAUGGCCGGUACAAAGGGUUGCGAUACUGUGAGGUGGAGCUAAUCCCAAAAAGCCGGUCUCAGUUCGGAUUGAGGUCUGCAACUCGACCUCAUGAAGUCGGAGUCGCUAGUAAUCGCAGAUCAGCAACGCUGCGGUGAAUACGUUCCCGGGCCUUGUACACACCGCCCGUCAAGUCACGAAAGUUGGUAACACCCGAAGCCGGUGGCCUAACCCCUUGUGGGAGGGAGCCGUCGAAGGUGGGACUGGCGAUUGGGACUAAGUCGUAACAAGGUAGCCGUA
rnacentral:rRNA from 2 species